rnacentral:lncRNA from 1 species
CGAUUUUAAUACACCGAUAAACGUCCGACGGUAGACCGAAUACGGUGCCGCUAUGAUCGACCGUUCGGGUACGAGACGGACUCCGAUCGCGACAAAAUUCGACUGGUGGCCUAGCUAUAACUAAUCACGACCGCAUGCCAAGUUUCACCCCGAUCAGAGAAAGUUUUUCACACACUUUUAAAACAGGGUUACAACGAUGCCGCGGGCGCGUGCGAGUGCGGUCGGACUCAGAACGAACAACGACGAGAACCGGCAACUAACAACAGAUGCAACUUUUGAAAACUAACGGCAACAGAGAUGCCGAUGCAAUGCAGAUGAUGCGAAUGAUGCGAUGAUGAUGCAACAAAAGAAAAUAGACACACGACGAAAACGGAAUAAAGGG